rnacentral:rRNA from 1 species
AGUGAUCGCUGGCGGUAGGCCUAACACAUGCAAAUCGAACGGCAGCACAGUAAGAGCUUGCUCUUACGGGUGGCGAGUGGCGGACGGGUGAGGAAUACAUCGGAAUCUACUUUUUCGUGGGGGAUAACGUAGGGAAACUUACGCUAAUACCGCAUACGACCUACGGGUGAAAGCAGGGGAUCUUCGGACCUUGCGCGAUUGAAUGAGCCGAUGUCGGAUUAGCUAGUUGGCGGGGUAAAGGCCCACCAAGGCGACGAUCCGUAGCUGGUCUGAGAGGAUGAUCAGCCACACUGGAACUGAGACACGGUCCAGACUCCUACGGGAGGCAGCAGUGGGGAAUAUUGGACAAUGGGCGCAAGCCUGAUCCAGCCAUACCGCGUGGGUGAAGAAGGCCUUCGGGUUGUAAAGCCCUUUUGUUGGGAAAGAAAAGCAGCAGGUUAAUACCCCGCUGUUCUGACGGUACCCAAAGAAUAAGCACCGGCUAACUUCGUG